rnacentral:piRNA from 2 species
GGACCAGAUCUGAUUCUUCUUGGUGUGCUA